CAGGAUGAACGCUAGCGGCAGGACUAACACAUGCAAGUCGAACGGGAUCUUCAAGCUUGCUUGAAGUGAGAGUGGCGCACGGGUGCGUAACGCGUAUGCAACCUACCCUUAACAGGGGGAUAGCCCGGAGAAAUUCGGAUUAAUACCCCAUAGUAUUGCGAUAUGGCAUCGUAUUGCAAUUAAAGCUUCGGCGGUUAAGGAUGGGCAUGCGUAUGAUUAGCUAGUUGGUGAGGUAACGGCUCACCAAGGCUACGAUCAUUAGGGGUUCUGAGAGGAUUAUCCCCCACACUGGUACUGAGACACGGACCAGACUCCUACGGGAGGCAGCAGUGAGGAAUAUUGGUCAAUGGGCGAGAGCCUGAACCAGCCAUGCCGCGUGCAGGAAGACGGCCCUCUGGGUUGUAAACUGCUUUUGUAUGGGAAUAAACCACCGAACGUGUUCGGUGCUGAAGGUACCAUACUGAAUAAGGAUCGGCUAACAUCCGU
rnacentral:rRNA from 1 species